rnacentral:rRNA from 1 species
UUGAUCAAGAGCGAAAGUUAAGGGCUCGAAGAUGAUCAGAUACCGUCGUAGUCUUAACUAUAAACGAUACAAACCAGGGAUAGGACUCUGUCCAUCCCGACUCUUCCCGGACCUAAGAGAAAUCACGAGUAUCUGGGUUCCGGGGGGAGUAUGGUUGCAAGGCUGAAACUUAAAGGAAUUGACGGAAGGGCACACAAAGAGUGGAACCUGCGGCUUAGUCUCGACUGGGCCGCAGAAGCAGGCCGCAAGGUCAUGCUAGUCCAAGGUCGGGCCCCUCGGGGCCCGCCUCGGGCGACACUGUCAAAUUGCGGGGACACCCUAAAGCUCAGCACUACCAACCACGCGUGGAAACACGGAAAAAUACCGGGCGUUAAGACCUCUUUAAGCGGGGGAGUCGCGGUCGUGGGGCCCGGGGGUAACGCCCCGGGGUAUGGUGAAAACGUGCGCGAGAUAACUGGUUCAAUCCACRUGGGUAAUCCGCAGCCAAGUCCUACGCCCCUCGGGGCUCGAAAGCCGAUCGCAAGCCCCCUCCAAGGAGGGGGCGAGCGUGAUGGCGAGUAGAGAGUCCCCCGAGGGCACGGAUGCAGUCCACAGACUAAACGGCAGUGGGCGGGUGCUGAUCUGUCUGGUCGCACCCCCGCCUAAGAUAUAGUCGGUCCUCCCGGGAUAACCGGGGCCCCCUUUCGACGAGGGUGCAGAGCACCCGAAGUUAGGGGGGGGUGCAUCGUCCCAGCACAAGCUCGCUUGUGCCGGGCCGGUGUGCUCGAG